rnacentral:rRNA from 1 species
UUCCGCAUGGACGAAGUCUGACGGAGCAACGCCGCGUGAGUGAAGAAGGUUUUCGGAUCGUAAAACUCUGUUGUUAGGGAAGAACAAGUGCCGUUCGAAUAGGGCGGCGCCUUGACGGUACCUAACCAGAAAGCCACGGCUAACUACGUGCCAGCAGCCGCGGUAAUACGUAGGUGGCAAGCGUUGUCCGGAAUUAUUGGGCGUAAAGCGCGCGCAGGUGGUUUCUUAAGUCUGAUGUGAAAGCCCACGGCUCAACCGUGGAGGGUCAUUGGAAACUGGGGAACUUGAGUGCAGAAGAGGAAAGUGGAAUUCCAAGUGUAGCGGUGAAAUGCGUAGAUAUUUGGAGGAACACCAGUGGCGAAGGCGACUUUCUGGUCUGUAACUGACACUGAGGCGCGAAAGCGUGGGGAGCAAACAGGAUUAGAUACCCUGGUAGUCCACGCCGUAAACGAUGAGUGCUAAGUGUUAGAGGGUUUCCGCCCUUUAGUGCUGCAGCUAACGCAUUAAGCACUCCGCCUGGGGAGUACGGUCGCAAGACUGAAACUCAAAGGAAUUGACGGGGGCCCGCACAAGCGGUGGAGCAUGUGGUUUAAUUCGAAGCAACGCGAAGAACCUUACCAGGUCUUGACAUCCUCUGACAACCCUAGAGAUAGGGCUUUCCCCUUCGGGGGACAGAGUGACAGGUGGUGCAUGGUUGUCGUCAGCUCGUGUCGUGAGAUGUUGGGUUAAGUCCCGCAACGAGCGCAACCCUUGAUCUUAGUUGCCAGCAUUCAGUUGGGCACUCUAAGAUGACUGCCGGUGACAAACCGGAGGAAGGUGGGGAUGACGUCAAAUCAUCAUGCCCCUUAUGACCUGGGCUACACACGUGCUACAAUGGACGGUACAAAGGGCUGCAAGACCGCGAGGUUUAGCCAAUCCCAUAAAACCGUUCUCAGUUCGGAUUGUAGGCUGCAACUCGCCUACAUGAAGCUGGAUCGCUAGUAAUCGCGGAUCAGCAUGCCGCGUGAAUACGUUCCCGGGCCUUGUACACACGCCCGUCACACCACGAGAGUUUGUACACCCGAAGUCGUGAG